rnacentral:sRNA from 1 species
AUCCUUGGUCGAAGAGGAUGACCAUCCCCAAUAAAGGAGGGCUGGUCUUCAGUCAAGGGCAUAUGAGUAGCUGCACUCCCCUGAUAGAACCUCCAAACAAGCUCUGAAAAAAUGAAGACAUUUUCUAAUAUCAACUAAUAAUGUAGAGAGAGUACUGGAGUUAAAUC